rnacentral:rRNA from 1 species
GCCUGAUGCAGCGACGCCGCGUGAGGGAUGACGGCCUUCGGGUUGUAAACCUCUUUCAGUACAGACGAAGCGCAAGUGACGGUAUGUACAGAAGAAGCACCGGCCAACUACGUGCCAGCAGCCGCGGUAAUACGUAGGGUGCGAGCGUUGUCCGGAAUUACUGGGCGUAAAGAGCUCGUAGGUGGUUUGUCGCGUUGUUCGUGAAAACCUGAGGCUUAACCUCGGGCGUGCGGGCGAUACGGGCAGACUGGAGUACUGCAGGGGAGACUGGAAUUCCUGGUGUAGCGGUGGAAUGCGCAGAUAUCAGGAGGAACACCGGUGGCGAAGGCGGGUCUCUGGGCAGUAACUGACGCUGAGGAGCGAAAGCGUGGGGAGCGAACAGGAUUAGAUACCCUGGUAGUCCACGCCGUAAACGGUGGGUACUAGGUGUGGGUUUCCUUCCUUGGGAUCCGUGCCGUAGCUAACGCAUUAAGUACCCCGCCUGGGGAGUACGGCCGCAAGGCUAAAACUCAAAGAAAUUGACGGGGGCCCGCACAAGCGGCGGAGCAUGUGGAUUAAUUCGAUGCAACGCGAAGAACCUUACCUGGGUUUGACAUGCACAGGACGUGCCUAGAGAUAGGUAUUCCCUUGUGGCCUGU